rnacentral:lncRNA from 1 species
AAUAUUAUUUUUAUCCUUACAAAUUAAUAAAUUAUAUUAAAAAUAUCCUUCAUCAUAUUGAUUAAGAAUUUUUGACUAAUUUUCUCCUAAUCUAUUCUUAUAUAUAUAUAUAUAUAUAGAGCAGGGCUGCUGUGCUCUCAGGAGCACGGAGGCCUCCGUGCUCCUGAGCCGUUUUCGAUGAUGGAGUUUUCGAAUCGACGAUCAGCUCCGUUAAACUUGAUCUAGCGUAUUUAAAGUUUCUAGAAAAUAAUUUUUGCGAUUUUUCGAUAUCAUUUACCUAGCAAUCGAAAGGAUUCAAAAUCAAUAAUUUUUAACGGCUGAAAAUAAAAAUCCUAUAAAAAGUGGUGAUAUAGUACUAAAAUUUUCGAUCAGAAAUAUAGAUCUUGUUGUAGAUAGUAUAAAGAAUUUUCUAUCAAAUUUCAUCUGAUUUGAAUACUUCUACA